AUAAGUUGCGCCUCGAAUUUUUGACCCCACAAUAAUAGUACAAGCAUUUAAUGUUCAUGUGUAUUACUUACAUCCACUAAUAUAUUUUUUCCUGACAGUUCUAACUGAAUUUAUAUAUUUAUUCUUGAUUCACAUUACAGAGUGGAUUUUGAAAAGUAUAGCGGGGGCCAGCAUUGGUGGGGAUAGCCUACUGCCUCUUCGGACACUGCAACUGCAACACGCAAAAUGACUCCUGGAGUGCUAUUUAGAAACCAAUUGAUGCAGAAAUGUACAAUGAUUCAUCCUGGAAAAGGGAGAAAGCCAGACCCUCUGGAUGUUCCUGCUACCAACAAGAUUUUCAUAAUCCGUCACUUAGUUGGAGAACAAGGGAACAUGAAAAGAAUUGAUAAGUGGCGAAGUGGUUUCAGAAACCUUUUUCUAAUUCGUCUUUGACACCAGAUUGUGUGGUCAGGAAGUGUGAAUGUGUGGUGCAGAAAAUACUGACUCUGGAAAGUGACAUCCUGUGUGAAUUUUUGUUGAGGCCACUGAAACUGAACUCUGUGUCUUUUUCCCUGGAUGCUUGUGACAUGGACGGAACAAGACAUAUUUUUAACUGCAGGUCAUGUUUAAUUAAAUGCUGGGAAUAAAAGCUUGACUAACGAAAAUAUUAUUGAGAUCUAAUUCAUUUAAGUCCAAAGAGAGGUAGAAAAUGGGGGUAGAUUUUGUACCUUUGUGGGUUGAGGAACUAAUUUGCAAUGAUGAUGCAGACAUUUCAAAAGUCAGAUCUUUUGUUUAGUGAAUAUACAACAAUUUGUUAAAGAAAAAUAAGAAAAAAUAAGAAAAAUAGUCACUGAGCAGAAACUUUUGUCAAAGAAAAUGAACACAAACACAAUUGAGGAACAUGCUGCUACUUCUAAAAACAAAACCACACACGCCCUUUGAAAUUGUUAACACAAAUA